rnacentral:rRNA from 1 species
GAUGAACGCUGGCGGCGUGCUUAACACAUGCAAGUCGAACGAAGCAUCUUUACACGAUCCCUUCGGGGUGACGAAUUGAUGACUGAGUGGCGGACGGGUGAGUAACGCGUGGGAAACCUGCCCUGUACCGGGGGAUAGCAGUUGGAAACGGCUGAUAAUACCGCAUAAGCGCACAGUAAGACAUCUUACCGUGUGAAAAACUCCGGUGGUACAGGAUGGUCCCGCGUCUGAUUAGCUAGUUGGUGAGGUAAUAGCUCACCAAGGCGACGAUCAGUAGCCGGCCUGAGAGGGUGAACGGCCACAUUGGGACUGAGACACGGCCCAGACUCCUACGGGAGGCAGCAGUGGGGAAUAUUGCACAAUGGAGGAAACUCUGAUGCAGCGACGCCGCGUGAGUGAGGAAGUAUUUCGGUAUGUAAAGCUCUAUCAGCAGGGAAGAUAAUGA